ACAGCAGACGGUCACCAACAGGUCUUCAAUGCAGCGAAAAAUUCCCGCACCCGGAGGCGUCCUUCAACUAAACAAUACAUAUACUAGUUCAGUGAUAACGAUUUAAUGUCAUGUUUGUCUGUGAUGACCCCCCUUUUCGGGAUUGCAUGAUAAUUAUAGUUAUCUCGUACCCACAUGCACUUGUUUCUAUCCAUAGGAAGGUCGACUAUCCAUAUAAAACUAUUUUGGAUAGAAACAAGUGCCUGUGCUCGUACCGCAUCAGAAGGACAUACAUGUAUAUCAACUGAGCAAUAAUGUUUGGAACUUAGUUUUAAAAAUGAUGACAAAGUACCAUUAUGAAAAUAUUUUUAUUAAGCUGAAAUAUACAUUUAUUCUUUACAUGUUUAUGCCUUGUAAGUUAUUUUAUUUCUUUCCCGUUUUUUAACAUUUGCGUCUGGAAAGUUGAAAUGUUUUAACUUAAUCAUUUGUGUUAAUGGUUAAAUAUAAAUUAAUAAUGAAAAUUGUUAAAAUUAAAUCAAUAAAGGAAAUUAUUGCCCAGUUACAAACACUACCAGGGGAUAAUCCAUGAUGAUUUCUUUUUGAGUUAUAUGUUUCAGCACAUGUAUAUUUGACCCCAACUUUAGCCUGGUAAACGUGUUUUCUCCUUGUGAAAUAUAAAACAUAUUAAAAAUGACUUUCUGCUAAAGUCUUUUAUUUAUAUAAAGUUAAAACCUUCUUACUUCUAACUAGACAACACUCAUGUCAGGUUUAAUUAUUAUAUAUAAGUCCCCAAACAUUAACAUGACAGCAAUUGCUUUUACAGCCUUUAAGGCUUUGAUUGAUU
rnacentral:lncRNA from 1 species